rnacentral:rRNA from 1 species
UACGUAGGUGGCAAGCGUUGUCCGGAUUUAUUGGGCGUAAAGCGAGCGCAGGCGGUUCUUUAAGUCUGAUGUGAAAGCCCCCGGCUCAACCGGGGAGGGUCAUUGGAAACUGGAGAACUUGAGUGCAGAAGAGGAGAGUGGAAUUCCACGUGUAGCGGUGAAAUGCGUAGAUAUGUGGAGGAACACCAGUGGCGAAGGCGACUCUCUGGUCUGUAACUGACGCUGAGGAGCGAAAGCGUGGGGAGCGAACAGG